GACGAACGCUGGCGGCGUGCUUAACACAUGCAAGUCGAACGGUGAUGCUCCAGCUUGCUGGAGUGGAUCAGUGGCGAACGGGUGAGUAACACGUGAGCAACCUGCCCCAGACUCUGGAAUAAGCGCUGGAAACGGCGUCUAAUACUGGAUACGAAACUGGCCCGCAUGGGCAUGGUUUGGAAAGUUUUUCGGUUUGGGAUGGGCUCGCGGCCUAUCAGCUUGUUGGUGAGGUAAUGGCUCACCAAGGCGACGACGGGUAGCCGGCCUGAGAGGGCGACCGGCCACACUGGGACUGAGACACGGCCCAGACUUCUACGGGAGGCAGCAGUGGGGAAUAUUGCACAAUGGGCGAAAGCCUGAUGCAGCGACGCCGCGUGAGGGAUGACGGCCUUCGGGUUGUAAACCUCUUUCAGCAGGGAAGAAGCGAAAGUGACGGUACCUGCAGAAGAAGCACCGGCUAACUACGUG
rnacentral:rRNA from 1 species